AGGACGAACGCUGGCGGCGUGCUUAACACAUGCAAGUCGAGCGAGGCCCUUCCUUCGGGAAGGUGUCCUAGCGGCGAACGGGUGAGUAACACGUGGGCAACCUGCCCCUAGCUCUGGGAUAACUCCGGGAAACCGGGGCUAAUACCGGAUAUGACCUUCGAAGGCAUCUUUGAAGGUGUAAAGGAUUCUGGCUAGGGAUGGGCCCGCGGCCUAUCAGCUUGUUGGUGGGGUAAUGGCCUACCAAGGCGACGACGGGUAGCCGGCCUGAGAGGGCGACCGGCCACACUGGGACUGAGACACGGCCCAGACUCCUACGGGAGGCAGCAGUGGGGAAUAUUGCACAAUGGGCGAAAGCCUGAUGCAGCGACGCCGCGUGAGGGAUGACGGCCUUCGGGUUGUAAACCUCUUUCAGCAGGGACGAAGCGAAAGUGACGGUACCUGCAGAAGAAGCACCGGCCAACUACGUGCCAGCAGCCGC
rnacentral:rRNA from 1 species